UAGGGAAUCUUCCACAAUGGGCGAAAGCCUGAUGGAGCAACGCCGCGUGUGUGAUGAAGGGUUUCGGCUCGUAAAACACUGUUGUAAGAGAAGAAUGACAUUGAGAGUAACUGUUCAAUGUGUGACGGUAUCUUACCAGAAAGUCACGGCUAACUACGUGCCAG
rnacentral:rRNA from 1 species